AUGGAAGGGAUGAUUUUUUCCCCAGAUUAUCGACGAUGAUUAAAAUGUGCGAUUUUUCUCUAUCGGAGAAUCCAAGCCAAUGUUCUGAUCCAU